UUUCUUCUAUGAUUGAAUGUUGUAAUGUAACAGUAUAUUUGGCGAUCAUACUAAUGUAUCAACAAUAUAUAUAAUAAUAAGUAAUUAAUAUAUACUAUGACCAAUCAUAUAAUUCAAGACGACAAAAAAAUACUAUAUGCCAAAUACCCACACAAAAAGUCCACACAAUAGGGAUUAGGCCGCCGCAAAGCUCAUGAUGACAUACACAUAACCCUAUCACAGGUAGAGGAAAAAAAUCAGGGAGAAGAGAGAAAGGGAAAGGGAAAGAAAAUGAGGAAGAGAAGGUCAAGGGAGAGAGUGAAUACAUGGACCCUGAGGGUGGCUGGAUGGUACUAUCCGUGGCCGCGGUUGAUGUUGGUCCAAUGUUGAAUUUUUGGUGGUAACUGGUUUGUGCAAAGAAGGAGAUUGAUGAUGAUGAAAUUAAAUGGAUUCAUAGGAAAGUAAUUGGCUUAGCUGUUGUGUUUGAGCUUUCUUAAAAAAUGAGUGUUGAAGUGUGUUUCGGUUUUUUGUGUGAAAGAUGAUAGAUUUCUUUUUGCUGGGAAAAUAGAUUUCACAUUUAUCUCUUUUUGAAGGAAUUUCACAAUUAUCUUCUUCUUUGGUGGGAGUAUAUAGAGAGAGAAAACGAGGGGAUAAGGAUUGGUGCCAAAAUACAAGGCUAAAAGAGUAAUUGAUAGGAGAUAGAAAUUGUGAAAGGUCGGUAGUACUUAAAACAUAUGUAAAAAUUGGAAAAAGGAACCAGUAAAGAAGAAAGACAGAUUGACAUGAAACUCAAAAUGUGAGAAAAGCUGUUAGAGAUAGUUAAUGGAUUAGGAGAUAAAUGUGUAGCUCUCUAUGUUUACAUUUUGCUUCCCUUUAUCAAAUUAGCUCUCUUAGAUAGACAAAUUGAGAUGUAUUGCUUGUUUUUUCGUUUACC
rnacentral:lncRNA from 1 species